GUGAGGAAUUUUGCGCAAUGGGCGAAAGCCUGACGCAGCGACGCCGCGUGGGUGAUGAAGGUCUUCGGAUCGUAAAACCCUGUCGAGCGGGACGAAAUGUAUAAAAGAUAAUACCUUUUAUGCUUGACUGUACCGCUGGAGGAAGCUCCGGCUAACUACGUGCCAGCAGCCGCGGUAAUACGUAGGGAGCAAGCGUUGUUCGGAAUUAUUGGGCGUAAAGGGCGUGUAGGCGGUUAUGUAAGUCGAAUGUGAAAUCCCAUAGCUUAACUGUGGAACUGCGUUUGAUACUGCAUAACUUGAGUUCGGGAGAGGGAAGUGGAAUUCCUGGUGUAGCGGUGAAAUGCGUAGAGAUCAGGAGGAACACCGGUGGCGAAGGCGGCUUCCUGGACCGAUACUGACGCUGAGGCGCGAAAGCUAGGGGAGCAAACAGGAUUAGAUACCCUUGUAGUCC
rnacentral:rRNA from 1 species